rnacentral:rRNA from 1 species
UACGUAGGGUGCAAGCGUUAAUCGGAAUUACUGGGCGUAAAGCGUGCGCAGGCGGUGAUGUAAGACAGAUGUGAAAUCCCCGGGCUCAACCUGGGAACUGCAUUUGUGACUGCAUCGCUGGAGUGCGGCAGAGGGGGAUGGAAUUCCGCGUGUAGCAGUGAAAUGCAUUGAGAUCGGAAAGAACACCAACGGCGAAAGCACUCUGCUGGGCCGACACUGACACUGAGAGACGAAAGCUAGGGGAGCAAAUGGG